rnacentral:rRNA from 1 species
CUCACUUCGGUGGGAAGCGGCGGACGGGUGAGUAACGCGUGGGAACGUACCCCUUUCUGCGGAAUAGCCACUGGAAACGGUGAGUAAUACCGCAUACGCCCUUUUGGGGAAAGAUUUUUCGGUGAGGGAUCGGCCCGCGUUAGAUUAGAUAGUUGGUGGGGUAAUGGCCUACCAAGUCUACGAUCAGUAGCUGGUUUGAGAGGAUGAUCAGCAACACUGGGACUGAGACACGGCCCAGACUCCUACGGGAGGCAGCAGUGGGGAAUCUUAGACAAUGGACGAAAGCCUGAUCUAGCGAUGCCGCGUGAGUGAUGAAGG